AACUUUAAAGUAUUAAAUGUAUACAUCAAGUUUCGGCCUUGAAGAGAUGGAGUAAAUUAGUUUCCUAAAGUUU
rnacentral:tRNA from 1 species